rnacentral:misc_RNA from 1 species
AACGCACAUUGCGCUUCCUGGUAUUCCGGGGAGCACGCCCGUUCCAGAAUCAGUAAAAAUCUCACCGACAUUGGUUGCUUUCGGGCAUCCAAUAGCGGUGGUCGUUGGAUUUUUGCGUAAGCAAUCUUCUUAAACUGAUUGUAUGUGCACCAACUGUUUUGUCUUUUGGUUGUCAAAGUGCAACAGAUUUAUCUAUUACGCUUCGACGGCGAACUGGCAUCUUUGAUGUGCAUGCUUCAAGUCUCAACACGGUUUCCGAAUCUGAUGGUUUGGGAUCCGAUAACUUGAUCUGGAAUCGGGCGGGAAAACCCGCUGAACUUAA